CCUACGGGUGGCAGCAGUGGGGAAUAUUGCACAAUGGGCGCAAGCCUGAUGCAGCCAUGCCGCGUGUAUGAUGAAGGCUUUCGGGUUGUAAAGUACUUUCAGUGGGGAGGCAGGGAGUAAAGUUAAUACUUUUACUCAUUGACGUUACCAGCAGAAGACGCACCGGCCAACCCCGUGCCAGCAGCUGCGGUAAUACGGAGGGUGCAAGCGUUAAUCGGAAUUACUGGGCGUAAAGCGCACGCAGGCGGUUUGUUAAGUCAGAUGUGAAAUCCCCGGGCUCAACCUGGGAACUGCAUCUGAAACUGGCAGGCUUGAGUCUGGUAGAGGGGGGUAGAAUUCCAGGUGUAGCGGUGAAAUGCGUAGAGAUCUGGCGGAAUACCGAUGGCGAAGGCGGCCCCCUGGACGAAGACUGACGCUCAUGUGCGAAAGCGUGGGGAGCAAACAGGAUUAGAUACCCGUGUAGUC
rnacentral:rRNA from 1 species